rnacentral:rRNA from 1 species
UACGUAGGGGGCAAGCGUUGUCCGGAAUCAUUGGGCGUAAAGAGCGUGUAGGCGGUUCGGUAAGUCGGCUGUGAAAGUCCAGGGCUCAACCCUGGGAUGCCGGUCGAUACUGCCGGACUAGAGUUCGGAAGAGGCGAGUGGAAUUCCCGGUGUAGCGGUGAAAUGCGCAGAUAUCAGGAGGAACACCGGUGGCGAAGGCGGGUCUCUG